UACGGAGGGUGCAAGCGUUAAUCGGAAUUACUGGGCGUAAAGCGCGCGUAGGUGGUUUGGUAAGCGAGAUGUGAAAGCCCCGGGCUUAACCUGGGAACGGCAUUUCGAACUGCCAGACUAGAGUGUGGUAGAGGGUAGUGGAAUUUCCUGUGUAGCGGUGAAAUGCGUAGAUAUAGGAAGGAACACCAGUGGCGAAGGCGGCUUCCUGGUCUGUAACUGACACUGAUGCGCGAAAGCGUGGGGAGCAAACAGGAUUAGAUACCCUGGUAGUCCCU
rnacentral:rRNA from 1 species